rnacentral:rRNA from 1 species
UACAGAGGGGGCAAGCGUUGUUCGGAAUUACUGGGCGUAAAGGGCGCGUAGGCGGCCUUCUAAGUCGAACGUGAAAUCCCCGGGCUCAACCCGGGAACUGCGUCCGAUACUGGAAGGCUUGAAUCCGGGAGAGGGAUGUGGAAUUCCAGGUGUAGCGGUGAAAUGCGUAGAUAUCUGGAGGAACACCGGUGGCGAAGGCGGCUCACUGGCCCGGUACUGACGCUCAUGUGCGAAAGCGUGGGGAGCAAACAGGAGUU